AGAGUGAGCUUCUCCAGAAUUGAUGUUUGUUGGAGAAAGCAACCAAGAGCGCAGAAAUUAUGCCCAACGACCCAUCCAUCAAGAAGCAAAGUCUUUAACUUGCUGAAUGUGGGGCACCAUGUCAAGUCUUGCUUCAAAAUACAAUGUACAAAGUAAGAUGGAACAUAUCAUUUUAACAUACAACACGACAUGAAACUGUACAUUGGAAUGGAUAGACCUUUUAAGUAAAUUCAGGACGUAACAAAACAGGCAAUAAGGAUCUCUCGAGUCUCGACAGACAUAGACAUAUUCUAGUCUUAAAAAUACUGAUUGAAGUCUUGCAAAAAUUACCAGAGAUCUAAACUAUCUAGUGUUCCACCUGAUACCAGAAGCAUAAAAACCAUAAAAAUGCAAUUAUUCACCCACCCACCCACACAAACCAACUUGCAGGGAUGUCCUCAAAUAGGUACAAGGUAAGGCAGGACAGAAAUCCAUGAUAACAUACAACAAAUUAUGUUUUGAGUAUAAAGCUAAUGAAUAUGAACACACACGUACCAUCCCAGCUUCAGCUACUAAUUCCAAAUUUGCAGCAUUUGACAGACCUCUGAAAAACUUAUACUUGACACUGCCAUCACCGUCAGGAUCACCAUCACAAC
rnacentral:lncRNA from 1 species